rnacentral:rRNA from 1 species
UACAGAGGGGGCAAGCGUUGUUCGGAAUUACUGGGCGUAAAGAGCGUGUAGGCGGCUCGGUAAGUCCGCUGUGAAAGUCGGGGGCUCAACCCUCGAAUGCCGGUGGAUACUGUCGAGCUAGAGUGCGGAAGAGGCGAGUGGAAUUCCUGGUGUAGCGGUGAAAUGCGUAGAUAUCAAGAGGAACACCUGCGGCGAAGGCGGGUUGCUGGGCCGACACUGACGCUGAUGCGCGAAAGCUAGGGGAGCGAACGGG